CUGAGAACAAUAGUACCUGAGUCAUUGACAUUCUUAAGGUCUUGUUUAGAAGGGGUUGUUUGGAGCUGCUGUAGUCUGACCUGAGUCAUCUCACACUGGGCCAGGGAGGCCAAAAAAUUGGAGUCUUACCAAAGGAGUGCGUGUUAUUAUAGUGAAUCUCCAGAAGGAAACGUAGUUAGUGCUAAGUGAACAAGCCCUUUGCCUCAGAUUUACUGUUGGACAGGGUCAGAUCAUAACCUUUUAAUCAGGAUAGGCUUAGAAUGAAGUUUUUGUACGAAAUAAAUUUGCUUCUGGUAGAAUUUGCCAGAGAGUCCGCCCUGGGUGAAGGUUCGAUGGUUCAGUUGGAGAUCAUGGGAUUUGGAGUCAGAUCCUGCCACAGGUUUAUUUGUACAAAUGGCACAAAAGGACACCAGCUUCAUGCAGACAGAAGCCCAGGGGUUUCUUUUUAUUCUGGACAUGAGAUCUUCAUCAAAUAUAUCCAGUAUCUUCUCCCACUCUGUGACUUUUCACUGUCAUAGUGUUGUUUUGAUGAAUACAAUCACUUAAUUUUAAUGAAAUCCAGUUUUUCAUUGUUUUCCUUACUGGUGAAGGCUUUCCUUGGUCCUGUUUAAGAAAUCCAUCCCUCCUUAAUUCAUGAAGAUAUUCUUUUAUGUUAUCUGCUUAAAUCUUUAUGGAUUUGCCUUUCAAUAUUUAGACAUCACUGUUCAUAUGGAACUGAUUUUUGUUUGUCAUAAAUCAAGAGACCAUAUAUUUGACCGACUGUUUCUACCUUCUGUCUUUUGAUCUGCUGGUCUGUUCUUGUGUCCACACUGUCUUAUUUACUGUAAUCCCACAGGCAGUCUGUCAUCUGGCAAUGUGAGUUCCCCAACCUUUUUUCUCUUCAAGAAUUAACGAUUCUUGACCCUUUGUAUUUUCAUAUAAAUGUUAGUACCAGAUUUGCAAUUUCUGUUGAAAUACCUAUUAUGAUUUUAUUUGGAUUUUAUUGAACUUAUAAAUUAAUUUAGGGAUAUUGAAAGUUUUAUAGUAUUGAGUCUGCUAGUUCAUGAGUAUUCAUUAAAAUCUUUUAAAUUUCAGCAAUAUUCUAUAGUAUUAUAUAGAAGUCUUACACAUCUUUUGUUAAAUAUCAUCCCUACAUAGUCAAUUUAUACUCUUGUGUUACCAUUCUUUUAAAACUGCAUUUUCUGUUUUUGCUAGCUUAUGCAAAUACAAAUGAUUUUCAUAUCCAGUGACUUAUUAAUGCUAUCGAUAGUUAUCAAUAAACAUUUAGACUUUCUACAUUCACAAUCAUGCAUUCUAGUUCUUAUAUGUUUUACUUUUUUUUCUUUCAUUAUUUUACUGGAUAGUGAAUAGAUGUGUUUUUUUCAAAUACCUUCAUUCUAUUUCUGAACUCUCAGGUAAGCGUUCAAUAUUCCAUCAGUGAGAAUUAUGCUUACUGUAGGUUUUUGUGGAUAUCCAUUAUCAGGCUAAGGAAAUCCCUGUCCAUUGUUGUUUGCUAAGAGUUUUUAUAAUGAAUUUCUCUUACGUGUUAUCAAAAUUCCUGUUCAGUUGUUUUGUCUGUUGUACUUUAUGACAGGCAGUCAUCUAUCUGGUCAGCAUGUGGGUAGUUUUAAAUGUCUAUUUCUUUUAAAGACUUCAAUCUAAUCCUCCUGUUUUUAGUUCGCCCACUGUCCUCUCCCAUGCAUUUUUAUACCCCCCACUUUGGGAGCACUUAAUGCCUUUAAUUCCUUAUAGUUUCCAGGAAUCCGAGCCACAGAUCAUCUCUCUCUCAUGGCUUCCUCAUUCCUGUUCUCUUUUACUCCAGCCCUGUUGACAUUUAGUAUUUAAGUUUCUGUAAGUUGCUAAGUUAUUUACCAUUAUUCCCUCAGCUUUCCGGUCUCCAAAAUUGUUCUUCAUUCAUUUGACAAACAUUUUUAAGUUAGGAUGGCCAGAUUUAGCAAAUAAAAUCACAGGAUACCCAGUUAAAUUUGAAUUCUAGUUAAACAACAGACAGGAUGUAUCUGUGCUAAAACAUUAUCUGCUGUUUAUCUGAAAUUCAAAGUUAACUGGUCAUCCUGCAUUUUACCUGGCAGUGUUAUUAUGGGUCCCUGUUGAGUUAAAUAUUGUAGAUGUAGGUGAUACAGUGGAGAUGAAAAGUGUUCAAAAAUUCCUGCUUUCAGGAGUUUACCUUCUACUGGUAAGACAGAUAUUAUGCAUAAUAAGAAAAUUAUAUAGUAUGUUAGAGAAUGAUAAAUGCUAUGGAAAAGAAAUGAAGCAGACUAAUGGAUAUCAGAUAUAUAAAGAUUGGGAUUGCACUUUGGGUGAGUGGGAAAAAGUAUCAAUGAGAAAGUGAAGUUACAGCACACAUUUGAGGUGUGUAAUUUUGGGGAGCAGUGCACCCCAGGCAGAAGGAGCAGCCCGUGAAACCCAAGGCAGGAGUAUAGACAGUAUGUUUGAGGCAGGAGGCCCUUGUGGCCCAAGAGGGUUAGCAAGGGCAGGAGUGGUAAGAUAAAGUCAGGAGGUGGACAGGAAUGGUAGUCCAGACCAGGUAAGGCAUGUGGGCCAUUGUGAGAACUGGGCUUCUCCUCUCAGUGAAGGAGGACAGUGGAGUGUUCAAACACGAGUGAUGUUGUUCAGAGACAUGACAUUGUUAAAAGAAGCAAUCUGGCUGCUAUGCUGAGAAUGCGCCAUAGUGGGUCUGGGAACGCCAGGGAAGAGAUUACUCCAGGAAUCUAGGCAAGAUAUGAUGGUGGCCUUGACUAAGGUGGUAGCAGUCAAAAUGGUGAAAAAUGGCAAAAUUCGGAAUGUAUUUUGAUGGUAGAUCCAACAGGAUUUCCCGAUGGAUGGGAUAUAAGUAGAAGCAAAACAGUGGGCCCAUGGAUAAUGCUGUUUUGGGUUUGAGCAAUUGGAAGGACUGUUCAGUUCUGCACCAUCUCUCAUCUAUUUUAGUCUUCUCUUAUUUUUAUCCUCAUGACUUUAUGCUUGUUUAUGUCCUUUAAUGAUAGUUUAGAGGGGCUUUGGGUUGAAGUAAUGAUAAACCUGUGUAUUUAACUCAACAUGUUAUUCCAGAAAUCCAUAUGGUUAUUUUGAUAAAUUAAUUUUAUUUAAUUUUGAUUUGUGGGGAAGAAACACCUUUGGAAUUUAACCGUAAUGUGAUACCUUAUUUUUAAAAAGGUGAUGGAAAAUAAAUGUCCAUGACCAAAACAAUGUGGCUCAUAUCCAUGGAACACAUGAUUCAAUUAGAAUUUCCUUGUUGUAUUUGGUUUCUGUGGAGAGAGAUUAUUUUUUACCCUUGUGCCCCUGCCAAAAUGAUAUCCAUGAAUUAACUGCAAUUAAACUAGUCCAUUUUCAUAUUUUGAAAGUACUGAUGGAAAUCAUCCAAGACCUUUUAUGUGCCCAAAGAGAUACCACAUACCCUGCAUAAUUCCACAAGGAGUUAGGAAAGGUCCAACUGAUCAGAGCAGAUAUUUAAUGCUUCUCAUUGAGAAAUAUGAGUAGGAUCUUUCAAAAGAGCUGGAGAAAUAUAGAAAUUGUUAUAAUCAGUACUUUGUUAUUGGUUUUUUUUUGUUUUUUGUUUUUUU